GCGUCCGUAACUCAGUGAAUAGAGUACAUCCCUCCGAAGGAUGAAGUCGUUGGUUUAACUCCAACCGGACGCU
rnacentral:tRNA from 1 species